AGGAAAACUCAACCUUCAAGCCCUACUAAACAUUCAAACGCCGCCGCUCUGCGAGCGAAGCGAUACAGGAACCCAGUGACGCGGAUGUGGAUAAUGUGAUUUAUUGGAGGAGUUAAAUUAAAUUUAAUUGUAUGGUGAUUACAUAACUGUGAAAAUAUUAUUAUUUUAGGUAAAAUAAUAGAUGAUCCUGCUAUUAUCACUAAUAUUUUUUAUAUAUAAUUAUAUGAAUUAUUCCAUUAA